GUUGACCAUUUCGCUAGAAAUGCAGCAAAGAUGUACGUACAGUCCAACAACGGGAAAGUUUAUACUGCAAACUUCUAGUCAUUACAAAUUUGACCAAUUUAGUGGGUAUAAAUAUUUCAAUCGAAAUAAUAUCCAAAACAACAGGAGGAACGGGAUGCUGGGAGGAAAUAAGAUGAUCCAAGCAAACAUUAUUACGCAAAUUUACCCCAUCCUCAUCCAAUGUGAUUUUAACUUAAAUUUCAAUCAAUAAUUUAUUUUAAGGUAAAAUUUUUUUACAUGUGUGUUAAACUUUGGACCCACCUUGUACAUAAAUCCUGGUCAAAUGUACAUAUAUUGUAGAGUAAGUAUUAAAAUAUAUAAAAAGUGGAAGAAGCACAUAUGACAUAU